UCCUGCCAGUGAUCAUAUUCUUCGAUUAAAGACUAAGCCAUGCAUGUCCAAGAUCAUCUAGGUUAAUAAGGAAUCUGCGUAUGGCUCAUUAAAUGAAUUAUUACUUCCCCCAGCACUAUUUCACAAUUGGAUAACCGUUGUAAUUCAAGGGCUAAUCAUGCAUGAAAAAUAGCUUAGUAAUAGGCUAUUGCAUUUGUUAGUUACAAACCAACAUCUUUUUAGGUGAAUCAUGACAAAUUGCGGAUCCUUAUGUUGUAAAAAACGAAGGACGACUGGGUCAGGUCUUUCCCCUAUCAGUUUUCGUAGGAAAUGUAUUGAAUUUUCUAGACUUUGACGGGUAACGAAAAAUAAGGGUUUGAUUUCGGAGAAGGAGCCUGAGAGACGGCUACUACAUCUAAGGAAGGCAGCAGGCGCGCAAAUUUCCCAAUGCUCAUCGAGCGAGGAAGUGACGAUCAAUAACAAUGUGCGACUCUUUAUGGGUUGUGCAAUUGGAAUGACUACAAUUUAAAGAGUUUAAGAAGGAUCAAUUGGAGGGCAAGUCUGGUGCCAGCAGCCGCGGUAAUUCCAGCUCCAAUAGGAUAUAUCAAAGUUGUUGCAGUUAAAAAGCUCGUAGUUGAAUUUCUGGGAAGAUUUUGAUGUUGUUUCUAGUCAAGGAGCAAUCCUUGCUAGUUAAAUGACCGCUUUCCAUAUUGUGGGUUUCUACUUUGUAAAUGGGUUUACUCUUGUUUAUAAAGUACCACUCCGUCACUGAGAGCAAAUUGGAGUGCUCAAAGCAGGCUUUAUAGCUUUGAACAUUUUAGCUUGGAAUGACAAGAUAUGACUUUUGUUUUAUUUUGUUGGUUAUGAAAUGAAAGUAAUGAUUAACAGGAACAGUUGCGGGGGUACUCGUAUUGAAAGGUCAGAGGUGAAAUUCUUGGAUUCUUUCAAGACGAACGACUGCGAAAGCAUUUACCAAGGAUGUUUUCAUUAAUCAAGAACGAAAGCUCGGGGAUCGAAGAUGAUUAGAUACCAUCGUAGUCCGACGCCAUAAACGAUGCCGACUCGGGAUUGUAUUGUAGUCUAACUUAACAAUGACUCAAUGCAGCACCGUAUGAGAAAUCAAAGUCUUUGGGUUCCGGGGGGAGUAUGGUCGCAAGGCUGAAACUUAAAG
rnacentral:rRNA from 1 species